rnacentral:Y_RNA from 1 species
GGCUGGUCCGAUGGUAGUGAUUUAUCAGAACUUAUUAACAUUACUGUCACUAAAGUUGGUAUACAACCCCCCCACUGCUAAAUUUGACUGGCUUUUA